AUUGAACGCUGGCGGCAGGCCUAACACAUGCAAGUCGAACGGUAACAGGGAUCAGCUUGCUGAUUCGCUGACGAGUGGCGGACGGGUGAGUAAUGUCUGGGAAACUGCCUGAUGGAGGGGGAUAACUACUGGAAACGGUAGCUAAUACCGCAUAACGUCGCAAGACCAAAGAGGGGGACCUUCGGGCCUCUUGCCAUCGGAUGUGCCCAGAUGGGAUUAGCUAGUAGGUGGGGUAACGGCUCACCUAGGCGACGAUCCCUAGCUGGUCUGAGAGGAUGACCAGCCACACUGGAACUGAGACACGGUCCAGACUCCUACGGGAGGCAGCAGUGGGGAAUAUUGCACAAUGGGCGCAAGCCUGAUGCAGCCAUGCCGCGUGUAUGAAGAAGGCCUUCGGGUUGUAAAGUACUUUCAGCGGGGAGGAAGGGAGUAAAGUUAAUACCUUUGCUCAUUGACGUUACCCGCAGAAGAAACACCGGCUAACUCCGU
rnacentral:rRNA from 1 species